AAAACUCGUUCCUGAAGAUGAAGAUGGUGACAAAUCUUGUAAGUCGAGCGCUUCAUUCAGUGUUGUGUGUCUGUAAUUCAUUUCAAAAACAUCAAUAUCUUAUCACAUGGUGUAUUAACAUGAAGAGAAUCUGCAUUUGAAUGUAUUCAGUCUGAGACUAAAGCAUUUGAGAAGAAGAAUCAUAAUUCUGAAGCCAGUCUUACUGAGGAAACUUUCUCUCUCUGUAAAGUCUGAGCAGUGUUUGCUGUUCCUCAUGUUGUGUUUCUUCAGCAGAUGCAGGCUCGUCACAGGGAUCACUCGGUGAAUUCACUCCUUUUUACUGGCGCCGUGAUUCUUCACCAAUUCGAUGGAAAACAAGUUGUCGUCGAAACAAAUAUGCGAGCUCAGGGUAUUACGCGUUAAAGGAAUCACUCGCUGAAUUCACUCCUUUGAGCUUACGUGAUAUUUUUACAUUACACCCUCGUCUUGAAAAUAAAGAUGAUGAUGAAGAAAAGGAAAUAUCCAGGACUCAGUCUAUGGAAAACUUGGCUCUAAUGAAUAAGAAUCCUCUCCAGCAGUGAUGUGUUUCAUAGUUCAGUGCUUUAUAGUACAAUACUCCACAUCAAUACAUUCAUACUGUGGGUAAAAUGUGAUAGCAUUCAAAGAUUACUGUCAUAAGAUUCACUAUCAAAUAUGUAUUCUCUUCUGAUGUUAGCCUCUUAAAGUAAAAUGGUUCCUGAAAAGAAUAUAAAUGAAUUUAUUAAAAGAGCUUGAUUUUGUCAUAUACAGAUUUUCACAAUACACAUUUUAAUGCAGCUUUACAGAAAAUGCAUGUUUCUAUGUUGAAAAAUGAUAGAAACGUUCAAAUUCAGAGUCAGAGUAAUGUCCAUAUGCCACAGUAUUUGUACAGUUUUUGGAUAAUAAAAAUCAUAUAAGUAGAUGAAGACUGUAUUUAAGCAGAAAUGAUCAAUACAGUUAAAGCAAUAAUUACAGGCAUUUUACAUAAUACACAAUUAAAUAUGUUAUUGUCUUAUGUCACUGACAUUUCUUCUGUUAAGUUGUAACAUGAAGCUCUUAGACAACAAAAUGUUUAACGUAUGGAUUUCAGUUAUACCUAUUGCUUGUACACUUUUUUUCUACCACAUCUUUUCCUUCCCUUCUCCUCUCUAUUAAUGUGCUUGGACACAGAGCUCUGUGAACAGCCGGCCUCUUCUGCAAUGACCUUUUGUGUCUUCUCCUCCUUGUGCAAGGUGUCAAAGGUCAUCUUUUGGACAACUGUAAGGUCAGCAGUCUUCCCCAUGAUUGUGUAUCCUACAGAACUAGACUGAGAGAUCAUUUAAAGUCUUUGCAGGUGUUUUGAGUUAAUUAACUGAUUAUAGUGUGGCAACA